AUUGAACGCUGGCGGCAGGCUUAACACAUGCAAGUCGAACGAGUGGCGGAAGGGUGAGUAAUGCUUGGGAAUCUAGCUUAUGGAGGGGGAUAACUACGGGAAACUGUAGCUAAUACCGCGUACCAUAGGAUGAGCCCAAGUGGGAUUAGGUAGUUGGGGAGGUAAAGGCUCACCAAGCCGACGAUCUCUAGCUGGUGUGAGAGGGUGACCGGCCAUGCUGGGACUGAGACACGGGCCAGACUGCGACGGGAUGCAGCAGUGGGGAAGAGUGCACAAUGGGCGCAAGCCUGAUGUAGCCAUGCCGCGUGUAUGAAGAAGGCCUUAGGGUUGUAAAGUGCUUUCAGCGGGGGGGCGUUACCCGCAUAAGAAGCACCAGCUAACAGCGUGCCAGCAGCCGCGGUAAUAC
rnacentral:rRNA from 1 species